rnacentral:lncRNA from 1 species
AUGCUUCCUUUUGGACUCACAUCUGGUUCCCUUUCCUGCACCCUUAACUUAUGGCUCUGCCUCCACGGCAUCACUGAGUGAGGCCCGCCCUUGCUCAGGAUGGCUCAGAGCAGCACGGUUCUGUUUGCUUUGGUAGCUCCUGAAGUGUUUUGAGCUCUGCACGGACAGCGUGUAGCGGAUGCGGAAAGCCUGUGCUGAGUGCUUCCUGGCUGUGGCCCACGACAUGUCCCCUGAGGUCUGCAGGGCCAGACUCUGGCCCCUUUUCAUCACACUGAUCAGUGACCCCUGCCGAUGGGUGCUCCAGGCUGCCUUCCAGUCCCUGGGCCCCUUCAUCUCCACCUUUGCCAACCCCUCCAGGGCUGGCCUUUAUAUUCAGGAAGAUGGUACUUUCAACAUCUGACCACUGGCUCUGGGUUUGGACUCGGACAUCAGCCUGGGCUACCGGAUGCAGGCGGCUGUGGGGACUCAGCCUCCGCCUGCUCAAGUUCAGGGAUUAUCAGCUACACGGAGAGCUGCCCAGCUUAACUCUGUGAACAAGGUCCAGCACCAGCCAAGAGAAGGGCCAAGUGAAGUGUCCGUGCCAGGUCCCAUCCCUGCCCCUGACAGCCAGGGCCCCCGGCUGACCCCACCACGGUGGGGCGAGCUCUCCGCAGCCAGGAUAUUAGCAAGCAUGGUUGUGGCAAUUCUGCAGAAGUUCUGUUCAAACAGUGAAAGUGCACCGGGGUUCAGUUUAAUCAUGAACUCAUCCUACGGUUCCGGCACUGUUCUAAGUGGGUCGGAAGGCAAACAUUUGCUUUCAUUUGUCAGGUUAGCAGGGGCCCCAGGGGAGCAUCCAGCACGAGCAUACGUUUCCUGUGUGACGUCAACGCACAGCACCAGGCAAAGGAUCCCAGCCCUGGAGGACUAG